UACGUAGGGGGCAAGCGUUGUUCGGAAUUAUUGGGCGUAAAGGGCGCGUAGGCGGUUUGACAAGUCUGAUGUGAAAUCUAUGGGCUCAACCCAUAGCCUGCAUUAGAAACUGUCGGGCUUGAGUAUGGGAGAGGUGAGUGGAAUUUCCGGUGUAGCGGUGAAAUGCGUAGAUAUCGGAAGGAACACCUGUGGCGAAAGCGGCUCACUGGACCAUAACUGACGCUGAGGCGCGAAAGCUAGGGGAGCAAACAGG
rnacentral:rRNA from 1 species